rnacentral:lncRNA from 10 species
CUUUAUUUAAAUAAAUAUUUAAUAAAAUAUAUAUCCAAUGUAUAUUUUUAUAUAAGGUUUAAAGAAAGAAUCUAACUUUAUAUUAUUUUCCCAAACGAUAGCUGUUGCUUUCAACACCAUUUAUUGAAUAAUCAUCCCUUUUCUCAUUGAAUAAAAUGCUACUUCAGUCACACACACACACACACACACACAAAUACAUAAAUGAGUCUUAUUUGAAAUCUAUAGUCUAUCCAAAUCAACUUUAUCUAAUUCUUCAUUUGAGCCACCGUCCUAAUUCUUACAAUAUUAUAUAUUACAUGAUAUAUGUUACUGUAAUUUUUAUGAUAUAAUCUCUGGAAUGGUGUGUUCUACAUCCUUCCAACCUUUACCCACUGUGCUUUAUUUCAACUUUUUCUUGAUUUUCCCAUGUUAGCUUGAUUUUUGAAAUACUUUAUUAAAAUCAAAAAUAAAAUGUGAUUGGAAUUGCCUAUAGUGGAAUGAAUAUUGUGGAUUGUUUAGCAUUAGUUAAGACAUUUUUGUUUUCUUCACAACAAUACCAAAAAAACCCUUCUAAUUUCUUAUUAUUUUCACUCAUAAAUAUAGGUGUAGUAUGUUUUUGUGACUAGAAUCUUGUGCUAUUUAAAAAGAAUUGGCCGGGCACAGUGGUUCACACCUAUAAUCCCAGCACCUUGAGAGGUCAACACAGGCGGAUUGCUUGAGCCCAGGAGUUUGAGACCAGCCUAGGGAACACAGCAAGACCCCAUCUCUACAAAAAAUUUUUGAAAAACUGUCCAGGGGUGGUGGUGGAUGUCUGUAGACCUAGCUACUCAAGAGGCUGAAGCAGAAGAAUUGCUUGAGCCUAGGAGGUGAAGGUUGCAGUGAGCUGAGAUUGUGCCAUUGUACUCCAGCCUGGACAACAGUAAGAAAAUAUCGCUUUGUCAAGGUUAUAUACUUCACUUUGUAUCAAAUGUGGAAAUAUAUAUAUUUUUGCAAGAAGGCACAAUUUAAUCAGGAUUGUCUCUCUCCCUUUCCGUAUGUACAUGUUUCUGACUCAUCCUAGGCCCCUCACUUUCCCUCACUCCCAUAGAACUGUUUCACCAACUGUUAGGUAUGACUGCUGUCUCAUUCUCUCUCACCACAGAAAGCUGGGAAAGGCAUUUUAGGAGGUGAGAAAUAAAGCAUCCUCUCUCAAGUUUUUGCCAUCCCCCAAGAGUUAUAUGUGGGGUCUCCAUGCCAACAGUCCACUCCUCUGAGAUGGUUUUCCCUAAUCACCCGCAAGUAACUUUUCACUUUUAACUUUAAAAGAGUGAGCAGGGCUCCCCUUCCUCAUAACCUAGCUGCGAAGCAAUUUAAUAGGUGUUCCAUGAAAUUUAAAAGCAGUAGUAAGAUUCCUAACAGAGACACUCCUCAACUUUCUCCAUUCUCACAGCCUGUCUCUAGAUAUAGGGAGUUCUUUGGAACUAAUUUCUGAAAGAACACGUACUUUUUCAUAUUAUAUAACAUUCUAAGCCACAUUAAAAUGAAUGCUUGGUGAGAUUUUUCAAGCAGAUAUUUAAAUUAUUGUAUGCCACUGAGAAAGAUUAACAGGGCAUAAUAAGCUAUACUUAAUAUUUUAGGAACGAGUAUAGUAAACUAUUGUUUAAUAAAUACAAGGCAAGGCAAACAUUACAAAGUGAAAUGUGGAAGAACUAAAGCUUCUAAAAUAAUUGAACCUUCCCUCUAGCAGCCCCUCACAGAGCUCUCCGUCAUUAACCAGGAGUAUAAAAAAUAGAGCAAAGUAUAUAAUACAAUAAUAGCUAUAGUUUUUUGAGCUCUGGCCACAUACCUGGCAUAAUGCUAGAUGUUAUACACAUUAGCUUUCUUCCUCAGGGCAGCCCUAAGGAAAAAGAGCAAAGGAGGGCUGAUGUGGUUUAUAGCUCCCAUAUGCCAGGCCCCAGGAUGGAUGAGUUUGUAGGAACUAGAGUCUCAGAUCCUAAGUCCAUAGAGUUAGGAAGACACAAUUAAUAAGGCAAAGUUCCUGCUCUUGACAUUGUACCACUGUUUCAGGUUUGACUCAACUUUUUUUCUGAAAAUAAUGAUUAACUUUUUAUAGUUGUUUACAGCCUGCCAGGCACUGUUCUAAGAACUUUAUAUGUAUCAACUUCUCCUUGAAUCUUCACAACCACUUUAUAAAGUAAGUAUCAUGAUGGCCCCCAUCCCCCUCCAUUUUUUAGGGGAGAAAAUUGAGGCUUAAAGAAGUGGCCUGCCCACAGAUGGCAAGUGACCAGGCCAGAGUCCACACCCAGACUAUUUAACUCUAGACUCCAUUUAACUCUAGACUCUAAGCUUUUAAUCACUAAACUUUCAGAAAUGUCUACCAAGAAAGAUGGCUAAAUUUGGCGAGCAAUAUCUAAAAUCAAGUCCAAAGGAAUAUGAAUAAAAGCAUUUGAAAGAGAAGGCUAUGAUUUCUCACACUAUGACUAGCAUUUUUCCUUAGGUGUCAUCUAUGCUGAAUCUCCACUGGGCAGGAAACACAAUGAAAUACAACUGAAACUGAAUGGAAAGUUAACCAUGAAACGACUGGAGGAAUCUCAGUCAGAACUAGGUCUCGCUUUACCAAGAGAGGUCAGUCAUACUUGACAAUAGAGGCUUUAGGGCCCUUUUCGAUGUUCCACACCAUAAUUUAAAUGAUGCAGUAAAAACAGAAAAAGCAAAGAGUUAAUAAUCAUCUGAAGAAAUGUGCUUCCAUUCUAAACUUCCAAGGGGGUUGGGGGUGUAAGAAGACUAAAUAUUGUGGAAAGCAGCUUGGUGACAUCUGAAAAGGCUAAAAACAGAACUACCAUUCAACUCAGCAGUCCCAUUCCUGGGUAUAUACCCAAAGGAAUAUAAAUAAUUCUACCAUAAAGGCACAUGCACACAUAUGUUCGUUGUAGCACUAUUCACCAUAGCAAAGACAUGGAAUCAACCUAAAUGCCCAUCAAUGGCAGAUUGGAUAAAGAAAAUGUGGUACAGGUACAUAAUGGAAUGCUAUACAGUCAUACAAAAAUGCAAUCAUGUCCUCUGCAAAACGUGGAUGGAGCUAGAGGCAUUAUCCUUAGCAAACUAACGCAGGAACACAAAACCAAAUACUGUAUGCUCUCACUUGUAAGUGGGAGCUAAAUAAUGAAAAUACAUGGACACAAAGAGGAUCAGCAUACUGGGGCCUACCAGAGGGUGGAGGGUGGUAUGAGGGAGACAACCAGAGAAAAUAACUAUUGGGUAGUAGGCUUAGUUCCUGGGUGAUGAAAUAAUCUGUACAACAAACCCCCAUGACAGGAGCUUACCUAUAUUAAAAAAAAUCUCCAUAUGUACCCCUGAACCUAAAAUAAAAGUUUUGUUUUUUAAAAUAAGAUGAAAUGCAUAGGGCAAAGGUAAAUCUGUUUGUGGAAAAACAGCAAAAGGAAGCACUGUUUCCUGGCAAUAAGUAUAACUCUUUUCUUAAGGUCUGCCCUUCUCCUUACCCCGAUCUCCAACUUGUUGGAAAGCUAAGAUUAUUGACCUUCUGUGAACUCUGUAUCUAGUUAACUUCUUUCAUUCAACCCUUUAGGGACUCAAGCAAACAGCAUCACUGACACCAUUGACAGUUUGGGAUUCCAAGGUGGCUAUGCAAAUUAAUCCCUGUCUCUUGCUCCACUCCUACCCUCAUCACUAAUCCUCACUUCUCCUACAAAAGGACAUUGUUAUGAAGCAUCCUCGCCUUGUUUUCAGCUUGUGUGUUUUUGAGCCAGAGCUUCAUUAGAAUAUGACCAUCUGUGCUCCCUGGGACCUUGGUCACCUCAAUUUAUUUGCUGGAAGAUGUGGAAUGAUCCUAUUUCACGUGAAUAUCUAGCUCAGUUUCCUCUAUUUCUCUAAAUGUAUCUCAAUGUCUUUUGUGCUUUCUGGAAGGUAUUAGAGUUUAUGGACCUUGCUCUUGGUUAACAUUAAAAAAUAAGCUUUCUACAUAAUAUAGUGUAAAAAAGCUAUGUCAUUUCUUCACUUUUCUGACUACUAAGUUCUCUUGAGAGGCAGUGAGUGUCACACUGCACUACUAGUGGCCUGCACAUCUGAGACAGAGUAUCUCUUACACACUUGUGAAUUAAUUCCUAACUUCUGUAUAAUAUUCUAUUUACAUUUUUUAUUCAAAUUCUCUCUCAUUCUCUGUACAUUUCUUUAGCACACACUAGAUGUCUGCUGUGCCAGGUGACUCUCACUUAUUCAGCACAGCAACCCUAAGAGACACACACAUUUAGUACUGAAAUAUUAGAGUGGAGAGAACAAUGGUGAGGCAAUGAGGUUACAUGGUCACAUUCUUACCUUGGGAAUUCUGCUUUGCUGUGAAGCAGUGGGUAAAGACAUUGACUAUUACAGCACUCACUGUUUAUCCAAACAGUAUCCCAGGGGAGAAUACAUUUCAGGGUUCUGUACGAGGAAAACUUAGUCUUUCCUGAGAAAUGGAUGUUGUGUUCUUCUCGUCUAGCAUUUCUUUUGUUUUCCUGCUAAGUUUGGCCACCACGUAACUAUGAGAUGGGUUUCUGGGCUCCUUCAGAGGAAGCACUAUGACUCUUAUUAUUGAAAUAUUCACUUUCUCUUCACCCAAUUUUCUCUUUUUAACAUUCUGAAUUAAAAAAAAAUUAUUGACUUUGUACUUUUUGUAACUUACUGCAAAUCCUUUUCUAAAUAGGCAGGGCAUGAAUAAAGAAAGGAUGGAAGGAUGGAAGGGAGGAAGGGAAGGACAAAGGAAGAAAGGGAGGGUGGCAGGGAGAAAACAAAAACAAGUAGGCAAAUACAUAAAAUGACUUACCUUUUGUAAUUUUAAAUUAUUCAAGUUUGUUUUCUAAUAAAUAUAACCUUAAUGAAAUGCCAUCUCUAAAAAUCCUUUAUACAAAGCUUUUCAAAUAAUAAAAGGAAUACGAGUAAAAUGAUGAAAUAAAUAAACUUUUUGCAGCCA